GGGACAUUACUGAAAAGAUAGCUGCAAAUGUGGAAGCAACUAUGGAAAUGGAUAACAGGUAGAGGUUGGAACUGUUUGGAGAGCUCAGAAGAAGACAGAAAAAUGUGGGAAAGUUUGGAGCUUCGUAGAGAUUUGUUGAAUGGCUUUGACCAAAAUGCUGCUAGUAAUAUGGAUAAUGAAGUCUGGUCGGGGCAGUCUCAGAUGGAGAUGAGAAUCUUGUUGGGCACUGAA